CGGGGUCGUCCGACUAGGCGUGAGGCCUGCUUUGGGAGCAGGAGACCGCAGGUUCGAGUCCUGUCGCCCCGA
rnacentral:tRNA from 1 species